CUCCUUUGACGUUAGCGGCGGACGGGUGAGUAACACGUGGGUAACCUACCUAUAAGACUGGGAUAACUUCGGGAAACCGGAGCUAAUACCGGAUAAUAUUUCAACCGCAUGGUUCGAUAGUGAAAGGUGGUUUUGCUAUCACUUAUAGAUGGACCCGCGCCGUAUUAGCUAGUUGGUAAGGUAACGGCUUACCAAGGCGACGAUACGUAGCCGACCUGAGAGGGUGAUCGGCCACACUGGAACUGAGACACGGUCCAGACUCCUACGGGAGGCAGCAGGC
rnacentral:rRNA from 1 species